UGUGAACUCGAAGAGUAGGGCGGGACACGUGGUAUCCUGUCUGAAUAUGGGGGGACCAUCCUCCAAGGCUAAAUACUCCUGACUGACCGAUAGUGAACCAGUACCGUGAGGGAAAGGCGAAAAGAACCCCGGCGAGGGGAGUGAAAAAGAACCUGAAACCGUGUACGUACAAGCAGUGGGAGCACCUUCGGGUGUGACUGCGUACCUUUUGUAUAAUGGGUCAGCGACUUAUAUUCUGUAGCAAGGUUAACCGUAUAGGGGAGCCGCAGGGAAACCGAGUCUUAACUGGGCGUUAAGUUGCAGGGUAUAGACCCGAAACCCGGUGAUCUAGCCAUGGGCAGGUUGAAGGUUGGGUAACACUAACUGGAGGACCGAACCGACUAAUGUUGAAAAAUUAGCGGAUGACUUGUGGCUGGGGGUGAAAGGCCAAUCAAACCGGGAGAUAGCUGGUUCUCCCCGAAAGCUAUUUAGGUAGCGCCUCGUGAAUUCAUCUUCGGGGGUAGAGCACUGUUUCGGCUAGGGGGUCAUCCCGACUUACCAACCCGAUGCAAACUACGAAUACCGAAGAAUGUUAUCACGGGAGACACACGGCGGGUGCUAACGUCCGUCGUGAAGAGGGAAACAACCCAGACCGCCAGCUAAGGUCCCAAAGUCAUGGUUAAGUGGGAAACGAUGUGGGAAGGCACAGACAGCCAGGAUGUUGGCUUAGAAGCAGCCAUCAUUUAAAGAAAGCGUAAUAGCUCACUGGUCGAGUCGGCCUGCGCGGAAGAUGUAACGGGGCUAAACCAUGCACCGAAGCUGCGGCAGCGACACUAUGUGUUGUUGGGUAGGGGAGCGUUCUGUAAGCCUGCGAAGGUGUGCUGUGAGGCAUGCUGGAGGUAUCAGAAGUGCGAAUGCUGACAUAAGUAACGAUAAAGCGGGUGAAAAGCCCGCUCGCCGGAAGACCAAGGGUUCCUGUCCAACGUUAAUCGGGGCAGGGUGAGUCGACCCCUAAGGCGAGGCCGAAAGGCGUAGUCGAUGGGAAACAGGUUAAUAUUCCUGUACUUGGUGUUACUGCGAAGGGGGGACGGAGAAGGCUAUGUUAGCCGGGCGACGGUUGUCCCGGUUUAAGCAUGUAGGCUGGUUGUCCAGGCAAAUCCGGAUAAUCAAGGCUGAGGUGUGAUGACGAGGCACUACGGUGCUGAAGUAACAAAUGCCCUG
rnacentral:rRNA from 1 species